UGGGGAAUAUUGGACAAUGGGCGAAAGCCUGAUCCAGCCAUGCCGCGUGUGUGAAGAAGGUCUUCGGAUUGUAAAGCACUUUAAGUUGGGAGGAAGGGCAGUAAGCGAAUACCUUGCUGUUUUGACGUUACCGACAGAAUAAGCACCGGCUAACUCUGUGCCAGCAGCCGCGGUAAUACAGAGGGUGCAAGCGUUAAUCGGAAUUACUGGGCGUAAAGCGCGCGUAGGUGGUUCGUUAAGUUGAAUGUGAAAGCCCCGGGCUCAACCUGGGAACUGCAUCCAAAACUGGCGAGCUAGAGUAGAGCAGAGGGUGGUGGAAUUUCCUGUGUAGCGGUGAAAUGCGUAGAUAUCGGAAGGAACACCAGUGGCGAAGGCGACCACCUGGGCUCAUACUGACACUGAGGUGCGAAAGCGUGGGGAGCAAACAGG
rnacentral:rRNA from 1 species